rnacentral:rRNA from 1 species
UACGUAGGUGGCAAGCGUUGUCCGGAUUUACUGGGUGUAAAGGGCGUGUAGCCGGGCUGACAAGUCAGAUGUGAAAUUCCGGGGCUCAACCCCGGACCUGCAUUUGAAACUGUUGGUCUUGAGUAUCGGAGAGGCAGGCGGAAUUCCUAGUGUAGCGGUGAAAUGCGUAGAUAUUAGGAGGAACACCAGUGGCGAAGGCGGCUUGCUGGACUGAAACUGACGCUGAGGCUCGAAAGCGUGGGGAGCAAACAGG